rnacentral:rRNA from 1 species
UACGGAGGGUGCAAGCGUUAUCCGGAAUCAUUGGGUUUAAAGGGUCCGCAGGCGGAUUUAUAAGUCAGUGGUGAAAUCCCGUCGCUUAACGACGGAACUGCCAUUGAUACUGUAAGUCUUGAAUUCGAUCGAAGUGGGCGGAAUAUGACAUGUAGCGGUGAAAUGCUUAGAUAUGUCAUAGAACACCGAUAGCGAAGGCAGCUCACUAGGUCUGGAUUGACGCUCAGGGACGAAAGCGUGGGGAGCAAACAGG